GUCGUGCAGGACUCCAUUGUCGAGGCCGAGGACAAGCUCUGCGGAGUUGUGGGCAGGAGUCUGCGACGCCUUUGCCGCUAUGUGAUGAAGAAGUUCAAACCCAAGAUCACGGAGGCACUGCAGGACGGGCAGGACCCCAAGGAGAUCUGUAUCAGCCUGCGGAUGUGCCGGGAGUCCCCACCCACCCAAGGCGGCCUGGUGCCCCCCAGUGAUGCCUGUGACCUCUGCUUAACCUUCACCAGCCUGGCCCAGCCGGACCUCCAGCACAUGAGGCCUGGCUGGGACCUUGGAGACGUCCUGAACAGCACAUGCAAGCGACACUUCGGGGGUUCCCCCAGGUGCAAUGACUUUGUUUCGACCUACCAAGCCAGGCUGCUGCAGGUUCUGAGGGUGUCCCCGGACCCGCUCACCACCUGUCUGG
rnacentral:lncRNA from 1 species